GCGCCCCCGGGCGCCGGCGAACCCCACCCGUGACUACUACACCACACGUUGCUUUGGCGGGCCCGCCGCUGGCCGCCGGGGAUCUCCCUGGCCCGCGCCCGCCAAAGAUACACUGAACCCUCUGUGAAAUUGGACGUCUGAGUUGAUGAUCAAUCAUUAAAACUUUCAACAAUGGAUCUCUUGGUUCCGGCAUCGAUGAAGAACGCAGCGAAAUGCGAUAAGUAAUGUGAAUUGCAGAAUUCCGUGAAUCAUCGAAUCUUUGAACGCACAUUGCGCCCUCUGGUAUUCCGGAGGGCAUGCCUGUCCGAGCGUCAUUGCAACCCUCAAGCGCGGCUUGUGUGUUGGGCUUCGUCCCCCGAGGACGGGUCCGAAAGGCAGUGGCGGCGUCCGUUUCGGUGCCCGAGCGUAUGGGAACUCUUGUCCCGCUUGGUGGCCCGGCGGCGCUGGUCAAAACCAAUUUUUACCGGUUGACCUCGGAUCAGGUAGGGAUACCCGCUGAACUUAAGCAUAUCAAUAAGCGGAGGAAAAGAAACCAACAGGGAUUGCCCCAGUAACGGCGAGUGAAGCGGCAAAAGCUCAAAUUUGAAAUCUGGCUCCUUCGGGGCCCGAGUUGUAAUUUGAAGAGGAUGCUUUGGGUGCGUCCGCGGCGUAAGUCCCUUGGAACAGGGCGUCAUAGAGGGUGAGAAUCCCGUCUUGAGUCGCCGGCGCGCGCCCGUUUAAAGCUCCUUCGACGAGUCGAGUUGUUUGGGAAUGCAGCUCUAAGUGGGUUGGUAAAUUUCAUCUAAAGCUAAAUAUUGGCCGGAGACCGAUAGCGAACAAGUAGAGUGAUCGAAAGGUUAAAAGCACCUUGAAAAGGGAGUUAAAUAGCACGUGAAAUUGUUGAAAAGGGAAGCGCUUGCAGCCAGACUCGAGCGCGGAGGCUCAGCGGGGU
rnacentral:sRNA from 2 species